UCAGUGAUCCCAGUGCUGAUUUUGGUGAUCCCAGUGCUGAAUUCAGUGAUCCCAGUGAUCCCAGUGCUGAUUUCAGUGAUCCCAGUGCUGAAUUCAGUGAUCCCAGUGCUGAUUUUGGUGAUCCCACUGCUGAUUUCAGUGAUCCCAGUGCUGAUUUUGGUGAUCCCAGUGCUGAAUUCAGUGACCCCAGUGCUGAAUUCAGUGACCCCAGUGCUGAUUUCGGUGAUCCCAGUGCUGAUUCCUCCAUCCCAGUGAUCCCAGUGAUCCCAGUGCUGAAUUCAGUGAUCCCAGUGAUCCCAGUGCUGGAUUCCCUGUUCCCAGUGCUGAUUCCCUCCACCCCACUGAUUCCUCACGGAGCAGGGUGUGAAAUGAAGCACUCCUGGGAAGGUGGGAGCCAUUCCCAGUAACCACUGCCCCAUCCUGACUGGAAAAGCUCCCUCCUGGUUCCCUCCUGUUCCCUCCUGUCCCUGCCUUUCUCCUGGAGCCCCAGAGCGCCUCCAUCC
rnacentral:lncRNA from 1 species